UACUAGAGUAGCACUCGCAUAUCAAUAAGCGGAGGAAAAGAAACUAACAAGGAUUCCCCUAGUAACGGCGAGUGAAGCGGGAAGAGCUCAAAUUUGAAAUCUUAAAGGGUUUCCCUUUACGAAUUGUAGUUUAAAGAAGUGUUUUCUGUUGAGGUUUUGGUAAAAGUUCUUUGGAAUAGGACAUCAUAGAGGGUGAGAAUCCCGUAUUUGACCUUUACUUUCAACUUUGUGAUACACUUUCAAAGAGUCGGAUUGUUUGGGAAUGCAGUCCAAAAUGGGUGGUAAAUUUCAUCUAAAGCUAAAUAUUGGCGAGAGACCGAUAGCGAACAAGUACCGUGAGGGAAAGAUGAAAAGAACUUUGAAAAGAGAGUUAAACAGUACGUGAAAUUGUCAAAAGGGAAGCGUUUGACACCAGUGUUGUUUUUCUGAAAAUCAAUUAAAGAACUGUUUAUGCUAAGUUGUUUAGACUUUAUCAGCUAUCUGCUUAGUUUUGAGCUUUUCUUUAAUGCACUUUUCAGUUAACAAGUCAACAUCAAUUUCUUUUGCUGUAAAAAAGCUUGAGGAAGGUGGCUUGAGAUUCGUCUUAAGUGUUUAUAGCCUCUUGCCUAUGCAGUCGGAGAGGUUGAGGUCUGCAGCGUAGAUCCUUCGGGGCUAAAUGCAUUUGUGCUAAGUUAUAGCAUUUUAUAGACAACUUGUUGACUAUGAUUUGUCUUGUAGCUUACUCGCUUAUGUUAUUUUACCUACGCUUAGGAUGUUGAGUAGCGACAUACGCAC
rnacentral:rRNA from 1 species